rnacentral:rRNA from 1 species
UACGGAGGAUGCAAGCGUUAUCCGGAAUGAUUGGGCGUAAAGCGUCCGCAGGUGGCAGUUCAAGUCUGCUGUCAAAGACCGGGGCUUAACUUCGGAAAGGCAGUGGAAACUGAACAGCUAGAGUAUGGUAGGGGCAGAGGGAAUUCCUGGUGUAGCGGUGAAAUGCGCAGAUAUCAGGAGGAACACCGGUGGCGAAGGCGGGUCUCUGGGCCGAUACUGACGCUGAGGAGCGAAAGCGUGGGGAGCGAACAGG